GAUGAACGCUGGCGGCGUGCCUAACACAUGCAAGUCGAACGAAGCACCUUACCUGAUUCUUCGGAUGAAAGUUUGGUGACUGAGUGGCGGACGGGUGAGUAACGCGUGGGUAACCUGCCCUGUACAGGGGGAUAACAGCUGGAAACGGCUGCUAAUACCGCAUAAGCGCACGAGGAGACAUCUCCUUGUGUGAAAAACUCCGGUGGUACAGGAUGGGCCCGCGUCUGAUUAGCUGGUUGGCAGGGUAACGGCCUACCAAGGCAACGAUCAGUAGCCGGUCGGAGAGGAAGAACGGCCACAUUGGAAAUGAGACACGGUCCAAAAUCCUACGGGAGGGAGCAGUGGGGAAUAUUGCACAAUGGGGGAAACCCUGAUGAAGCAACGCCGCGUGAGUGAAGAAGUAUUUCGGUAUGUAAAGCUCUAUCAGCAGGGAAGAUAAUGACGGUACCUGACGAAGAAGCUCCGGCUAAAUACGUG
rnacentral:rRNA from 1 species